rnacentral:snoRNA from 1 species
AUCCUUUUGUUGAUAAGAAGCAUGAUUAUUGGAUUUUUAAGCUGAUAUAAGGGAUGUGCCUCCCUCAGACCUUGUUAUGAUGUAGGCAG